ACGUAAUUGGUCAAGCUGAGAAUCACAGCCAUUAACGAGCGAGUCGAAGAUUGUGUGCAUUUGCAUCGUGACGCAGUUAGAACUACUUCGACUUGGUUUCCACCAACUUGUUACAUUGAUCGUGCACGUUAACCGAUUCAAAGGAUUGACUGGAGAUGACUCAGAGGAAAGGAAAGGUUUGUCAAAUGCUUUAAUAUGAUUUUAAAUAUUUUUGCAUCCCACCCCAUUCACCCCAUUAUCCGUGUAAUGAAGUAACGUUAUGUGUAACUAUUUUAUGUGAAAUGACAUCUGAACUUGCCAAAAAACAUAUUAAAGUAUAGUUCAAAGCUGUAAAUUUAAAACGUGUUUUUAAGUGCUAAAGUUUAUGUAGUGUUUCUGUUUUAAAAUGUGUACCACCUACAUCAUGGAGUAACAGUUAUAUAAUUAAUUUUACUGACGCUGAAAAUAAAUUAAUUUAGGGUUUUUGAUGUUAUAGUAAU
ensembl:lncRNA